rnacentral:lncRNA from 12 species
AUGCAAAGAAAACCUCAAGGGCUCAGAGAAACUGGAGGAAACAGUUGGGGGGGGGGCAGUAGGGGUGUUGGGUCAAGCGACAGGGCCCCGGCGCGUGGAACCGAGGGCAGGCAGCGGGGUGCGGGAAGAGGGGACGCCAGGGGAGCGUUGGGCCAGCAGCGAGGGUGGGCUGGCCAAGAGGAACCCGGCUCCCGCGGGGCCGAGGCCCGGGGUGGGGUGGGGUGGGGUGGGGGCGCUGAAGGCACCGGGCGCGGGAACGGGAAGUGCUGCCCGGAGCGCCGCUCGCACCGCGGGGAGCUACCCCGCCGCCCGCCGCAGCCUCACGGCCGCCGCGCCUCCCCAGCAGCGCCUCACCUCGGGUUGAAGUCCUGGAAGAGGCCCCUCAGGUUCAUGGCGGAGAACUUCGCCGCGGCGGCCUCCUCCUCCCCCCUCCCCCCGCGCCGCGCAGCCUGCGCGUUACAGCGGGUUCAUAGUGCCAGCGCGAGCCGUGUCCCCGCUGCCGCCGCCGCCGCCGCCGCCGCCGCCUUCACCACCUUCGUCGCCGUCACCACCUUAGUCGCCGCCGCCGCCCGGAGAAACCUGAGCCACCGCCCCCCGCCCCUCCUUCCGGGCUUCCGUACGGCGGCGGCGCAUGCGCCCAGCCCCGCCCCGUCGGCCGGGAAAGCGCCGCGAGCGAGCCUCGUGCGACGCCGCCCUCACAACUGGCGGCAUGCGGCCCCGGGUUCGUGCGGGGGACGUGGAGGCUAUGAGAGGCGGGGAGCCCGGGUGAGGCGGCUCGGUCCAGGCCUGCGGGAAAGGAGCGCACCACCCGGAAAGGUCUUCGCAGGCACCUGUCACCUUAGCCCGCGCUGCCUUCCGGAGAUUUCCCCUGAGACUCGCGGUGGGGCUGGGGGAGUUGUGGCCACGGGGACUCGUUGCGCUUUGGCGAUCUUACCCCAGGCUUCACGUGUCCUGUCGGUGACUCCCAAGUCUGCAUCUCAACUUCCCUCCCAAGGCCCAGACCAGCAUAUGGCCACAUGCUGCUGGGAAGUCCCACACUCCGGUUACCCUGUGCCACAGUCAUCUUUCCUCCCAACCGCCUUCUCCUCCUGGGCUGCCCUCUCUGUUGGCAGCAGACCUAUUCAUGGGGGCAUGUCACACUGGGGAUCGGGUAGUCAUCCUCCCAUUUACUAA